GGGAAACAGGUUAAUAUUCCUGUACUUGGUGUUACUGCGAAGGGGGGACGGAGAAGGCUAUGUUGGCCGGGCGACGGUUGUCCCGGUUUAAGCGUGUAGGCUGGUUUUCCAGGCAAAUCCGGAAAAUCAAGGCUGAGGCGUGAUGACGAGGCACUACGGUGCUGAAGCAACAAAUGCCCUGCUUCCAGGAAAAGCCUCUAAGCAUCAGGUAACAUCAAAUCGUACCCCAAACCGACACAGGUGGUCAGGUAGAGAAUACCAAGGCGCUUGAGAGAACUCGGGUGAAGGAACUAGGCAAAAUGGUGCCGUAACUUCGGGAGAAGGCACGCUGAUAUGUAGGUGAAGCGACUUGCUCGUGGAGCUGAAAUCAGUCGAAGAUACCAGCUGGCUGCAACUGUUUAUUAAAAACACAGCACUGUGCAAACACGAAAGUGGACGUAUACGGUGUGACGCCUGCCCGGUGCCGGAAGGUUAAUUGAUGGGGUUAGCGGUAACGCGAAGCUCUUGAUCGAAGCCCCGGUAAACGGCGGCCGUAACUAUAACGGUCCUAAGGUAGCGAAAUUCCUUGUCGGGUAAGUUCCGACCUGCACGAAUGGCGUAAUGAUGGCCAGGCUGUCUCCACCCGAGACUCAGUGAAAUUGAACUCGCUGUGAAGAUGCAGUGUACCCGCGGCAAGACGGAAAGACCCCGUGAACCUUUACUAUAGCUUGACACUGAACAUUGAGCCUUGAUGUGUAGGAUAGGUGGGAGGCUUUGAAGUGUGGACGCCAGUCUGCAUGGAGCCGACCUUGAAAUACCACCCUUUAAUGUUUGAUGUUCUAACGUUGGCCCCUGAUCGGGGUUGCGGACAGUGUCUGGUGGGUAGUUUGACUGGGGCGGUCUCCUCCUAAAGAGUAACGGAGGAGCACGAAGGUUGGCUAAUCCUGGUCGGACAUCAGGAGGUUAGUGCAAUGGCAUAAGCCAGCUUGACUGCGAGCGUGACGGCGCGAGCAGGUGCGAAAGCAGGUCAUAGUGAUCCGGUGGUUCUGAAUGGAAGGGCCAUCGCUCAACGGAUAAAAGGUACUCCGGGGAUAACAGGCUGAUACCGCCCAAGAGUUCAUAUCGACGGCGGUGUUUGGCACCUCGAUGUCGGCUCAUCACAUCCUGGGGCUGAAGUAGGUCCCAAGGGUAUGGCUGUUCGCCAUUUAAAGUGGUACGCGAGCUGGGUUUAGAACGUCGUGAGACAGUUCGGUCCCUAUCUGCCGUGGGCGCUGGAGAACUGAGGGGGGCUGCUCCUAGUACGAGAGGACCGGAGUGGACGCAUCACUGGUGUUCGGGUUGUCAUGCCAAUGGCACUGCCCGGUAGCUAAAUGCGGAAGAGAUAAGUGCUGAAAGCAUCUAAGCACGAAACUUGCCCCGAGAUGAGUUCUCCCUGACUCCUUGAGAGUCCUGAAGGAACGUUGAAGACGACGACGUUGAUAGGCCGGGUGUGUAAGCGCAGCGAUGCGUUGAGCUAACCGGUACUAAUGAACCGUGAGG
rnacentral:rRNA from 1 species